rnacentral:rRNA from 1 species
UAAGGAAUAUUGGACAAUGGACGAAAGUCUGAUCCAGCCAUCCCGCGUGAAGGAUGAAUGCCCUAUGGGUUGUAAACUUCUUUUGUUUGGGAAGAAACUCACGUGAUUUCACGUGACUGACGGUACCAUUCGAAUAAGCACCGGCUAACUCCGUGCCAGCAGCCGCGGUAAUACGGAGGGUGCAAGCGUUAUCCGGAAUCACUGGGUUUAAAGGGUGCGUAGGUGGCGCUAUAAGUCUGAGGUGAAAGCUCGCAGCUCAACUGUGAAAUUGCCUUAGAUACUGUAGUGCUUGAAUUACGUUGAGGUCAGCGGAAUGUGACAUGUAGCGGUGAAAUGCAUAGAUAUGUCAUAGAACACCAAUUGCGUAGGCAGCUGACUGGGCGUCGAUUGACACUGAGGCACGAAAGCGUGGGUAGCGAACAGGAUUAGAUACCCGUGUAGUCC